CGAUAAUGCAACACGAACUCAACUUGGAGACUGAAGAAUGUUUUGUUUCUAUUGUACAGCUAAUA
rfam:D.hydei fushi tarazu gene